UGUUGCCCCAACGCAGACGUCGUAGGCUAAUCCACAUAUGUAGAUGUCUGUGGCACCUUUGUCCUGGAGUUGAGACGACAGUGUUGUCUCAGUCUUUGUGGAGUUCAGCGCCCCAGGAGUCCUGGACACAGUGACGUGGCCAGAGCCUUUGUUUCAGGGAGGGUGGACCCUUGAAGGUGACGGUAUCAUAAACCUUUGCUUCCUCCUGGGGUACAGGACUCGAUUCAUCCACUUCCCUGAAGAAGAUCAAUUAAAAUUUAAAUAAUUUCACAAAUAGAGAAAUAAAAAUCGGGGAGACUCAUUCAUUAAUAA